rnacentral:rRNA from 1 species
UAGGGAAUCUUCGGCAAUGGGGGCAACCCUGACCGAGCAACGCCGCGUGAGUGAAGAAGGUUUUCGGAUCGUAAAGCUCUGUUGUAAGUCAAGAACGAGUGUGAGAGUGGAAAGUUCACACUGUGACGGUAGCUUACCAGAAAGGGACGGCUAACUACGUGCCAGCAGCCGCGGUAAUACGUAGGUCCCGAGCGUUGUCCGGAUUUAUUGGGCGUAAAGCGAGCGCAGGCGGUUUGAUAAGUCUGAAGUUAAAGGCUGUGGCUCAACCAUAGUUCGCUUUGGAAACUGUCAAACUUGAGUGCAGAAGGGGAGAGUGGAAUUCCAUGUGUGGCGGUGAAAUGCGUAAAUAUAUGGAGGAACACCGGUGGCGAAAGCGGCUCUCUGGUCUGUAGCUGACGCUGAGGCUCGAAAGCGUGGGGAGCGAACAGGAUUAGAUACCCUGGUAGUCCACGCCGUAAACGAUGAGUGCUAGGUGUUGGAUCCUUUCCGGGAUUCAGUGCCGCAGCUAACGCAUUAAGCACUCCGCCUGGGGAGUACGACCGCAGGUU